rnacentral:lncRNA from 1 species
AAAAUAUAUUAAAUUCAGUUUCUGAUUAUUUUGAAAUUUAUUUUUAAAGAUGUUGAUAAUGAAAGGGCCAGAUUAAAAAGAAUGGCAAUUCCUUUUAUGAAAAUCCCCAUAAGGAAACAUAACUAUGUUACAAAUGAGGCCUUGAAAAGACAAAAAAGAUUAAGAUUAGAAAAAAGAAGACAAAAACAAAUAGAAAAUAUUUCUUAUGAAGAAUUUCAGCCUUCAUGUGAUGCAGUAAACAAAUAUGUAAUCAUCCUUUACAGCAUCUUAACAUCAGUAAUGAAGAACACGAAGCUGCAGAAAAUUUAUUGUUUCUGAAAGAAAACCCAUUAAUUUUUAAACAAUUUGAAGACAAUGUAUUUGGGUUAACACAUUAGAGAGAUC